rnacentral:sRNA from 1 species
UUUUUGCUUGAUUAUGAAGGCUGAUGGAACUUUGAACGAAGCAGCUAUUCCUAAUGUGACAAGGG